CCGAUGCAGUGGGGAAUUUUGGAAAGGGGGCCGCCUGAUCCAGCCAUGCCGCGUGAGUGAAGAAGGAACGGGUUGUAAAGCUCUUUCGGCCGGGAAGAAAUCGCAUUGGUUAAUACCUGGUGUGGAUGACGGUACCGGAAUAAGAAGCACCGGCUAACUACGUGCCAGCAGCCGCGGUAAUACGUAGGGUGCGAGCGUUAAUCGGAAUUACUGGGCGUAAAGCGUGCGCAGGCGGUUUUGUAAGACAGGCGUGAAAUCCCCGGGCUCAACCUGGGAACUGCGCUUGUGACUGCAAGGCUAGAGUACGGCAGAGGGGGGUGGAAUUCCACGUGUAGCAGUGAAAUGCGUAGAGAUGUGGAGGAACACCAAUGGCGAAGGCAGCCCCCUGGGUCGAUACUGACGCUCAUGCACGAAAGCGUGGGUAGCAAACAGGAUUAGAUACCCUGGUAGUCCACGCCCUAAACGAUGUCAACUAGGUGUUGGGAGGGUAAAACCUUUUAGUACCGGAGCUAACGCGUGAAGUUGACCGCCUGGGGAGUACGGCCGCAAGGUUAAAACUCAAAGGAAUUGACGGGGACCCGCACAAGCGGUGGAUGAUGUGGAUUAAUUCGAUGCAACGCGAAAAACCUUACCUACCCUUGACAUGUCAGGAAGUCUUGAGAGAUUGAGAUGUGCCCGAAAGGGAACCUGAACACAGGUGCUGCAUGGCUGUCGUCAGCUCGUGUCGUGAGAUGUUGGGUUAAGUCCCGCAACGAGCGCAACCCUUGUCGUUAAUUGCCAUCAUUUAGUUGGGCACUUUAGCGAGACUGCCGGUGACAAACCGGAGGGAGGUGGGGAUGACGUCAAGUCCUCAUGGCCCUUAUGGGUAGGGCUUCACACGUCAUACAAUGGUCGGUACAAAGGGUCGCCAACCCGCGAGGGGGAGCCAAUCCCAGAAAGCCGAUCGUAGUCCGGAUUGCAGGCUGCAACUCGCCUGCAUGAAGUCGGAAUCGCUAGUAAUCGUGGAUCAGCAUGUCACGGUGAAUACGUUCCCGGGCCUUGUACACACCAUCCA
rnacentral:rRNA from 1 species